rnacentral:rRNA from 1 species
AUUGAACGCUGGCGGCAUGCCUUACACAUGCAAGUCGAACGGCAGCACGGGUGCUUGCACCUGGUGGCGAGUGGCGAACGGGUGAGUAAUAUAUCGGAACGUACCUUAUUGUGGGGGAUAACGCAGCGAAAGCUGUGCUAAUACCGGAUACGAGCCUUGAUCGCAUGAUCGAGGCUGGAAAGUUUUUCGGUUGAAGAUGAUCUCGCGGCCUAUCAGCUUGUUGGUGAGGUAAUGGCUCACCAAGGCGACGACGGGUAGCCGGCCUGAGAGGGCGACCGGCCACACUGGGACUGAGACACGGCCCAGACUCCUACGGGAGGCAGCAGUGGGAAUAUUGCACAAUGGACGAAAGUCUGAUGCAGCAACGCCGCGUGAGGGAUGAAGGCCUUGGUGUAACCUCUUUAGUCAGGGAAGAAGCGAAGUAGACGGUACCUGCAGAAAAGACACCGGCUAACUACGUAGCCAGCAG